GAUGAAGAACGCAGCGAAAUGCGAUACGUAAUGUGAAUUGCAAAUUCAGUGAAUCAUCGAGUCUUUGAACGCACAUUGCGCCCCCUGGUAUUCCGGGGGGCAUGCCUGUCCGAGCGUCAUUGCUGCCCUCAAGCACGGCUUGUGUGUUGGGCCCCGUCCUCCUCCCGGGGGACGGGCCCGAAAGGCAGCGGCGGCACCGCGUCCGGUCCUCGAGCGUAUGGGGCUUCGUCACCCGCUCUUGUAGGCCCGGCCGGCGCUUGCCGACACAUCAAUCUUUUUUCCAGGUUGACCUCGGAUCAGGUAGGGAUACCCGCUGAACUUAAGCAUAUCAAUAAGCGGAGGA
rnacentral:misc_RNA from 1 species